ensembl:lincRNA
CUUUUUUAAAAUUAUUAUUCAGUCUUUAAAAAAUGCAAAUAUCCCUGCGAAAGAUGGCCCACAAAGUAUUAACUCCUUACUGUGAAUUCGUGUCUCAGCAGAAAUAGCUGAGGAAGAACCUGGUUUUUCCUUAAACUGGUUGUUUCCCCGACCAGCAGCACAUAGCUCGGUUUUUGCAUUAUCUGAGAUGAGUCUACAGGGAUGGGGUUGCAGAAAGGGGGAAAGGGCUUUCCAGAAAAUGCUAGGGAAUCUAAAGCAAACUUCAAUGUCUGGUUUUGCCGAGGCUCAUGCCUGCACAGCAUGAAAAUUGCUCUACAAGCCACAUCAGCCACUGGCUUUUCAUUUUGGGGCGGUGUGAGUCUCCCUGUGAGCUGAGCCAGGCAGUGGAGGAAAUGAAGAGGCUCUCAAGGGAGGGGCAAGGGAAAGAGACUGGGCAGGGUGGGUGCAGCUGGCAGUGAGAGACUCUGCCUUUUCAACAUGGAUGGCUCCUCCCGCUGCCGCUGCUGCUCCAGGAGACAGGGGACCUACUUCUCUCGGGAAUCUCAAUACUUGGAACAAGAACCUCCUGGAUGGACCCUUUGGCAAAAUGAAUUGGACCAACUGUAGGUUCCAGGACUGGAGAGCCAGCAAUGCCUCCGUGGACAAUCUCACCCAAUUACUCUGCUCAGAGAACAUCACCACCCUGAAGCCAGAGACUAACACUGCAGGACUCAGCAGGACUAUUUAAGAAACAACUGAGGCAUCAGACCAACUUUCCCCACAAGUCCUCGGAUCUUUCCUGCCAUGCUGAUGCCAUAUAUUCCAACGUGAUCAACCUGGCCCCCCAGAAGGAGGACGACUUUGCUGUCUAUGCCAACAUGCCCCCUUUUCAUCACCCCAGGAGGACAUUGCCAGACCAAGUGGAAUAUGUCUCCAUUGUAUUCCACUGAUGGGAAGCUAAUGAGAUGCUCAGAGUAGGGGUCAGACCUGGCCCCAGCUGAAUCUUGGCAUACCCUUUGCUUUAGAUUUAUGUGUGUGUUUAAAAAAAAAAUACAUAGGCCAGGCGCGGUGGCUCACACCUGUAUCCCAGCACUUUGGGAGGCUGAGGCAGGCAGAUCACCAGGUCAAGAGAUCAAGACCAUCCUGGCCAACAUGGUGAAACCCCGUCUCUACUAAAGAUACAAAAAUUAGCCAGGUGUGGUGGUGCAUGCCUGUAAUCCCAGCUACUUGGAAGGCUGAGGCAGGAGAAUCACUUGAACCCAGGGGGCGGAAGUUGCAGUGAGCCAAGAUCACACCGCUGCACUCCAGCCUGGCGACAGAGUGAGACUCCAUCUCUAAAAAAAGUAAAUAAAUAAAAAUAAAACAUAAAACAUAUUCUGAUGGAGGUGGAUGGCUAGACAUUUCUUCUGAUUUAUUAGAAUCAAAGUACAGUUCUGAUAGAAAGGAAUGACAUACAAGAAACACAGGACAUGCUCGUCCAGAUCACCCCCAGCCCCAGAGGCAGGCUCCUGAGACAGACUGGCCAACAAGGAAGCCCUCUGAGCUCCUGCCCCUCCUGAGGCAAAAGGGCCGAGGAGGGGGAUUCAGACAAUUUCAGGCCCAGCUGCUUUUGUCUCUCCAGUCUUACCCUGUCAGGAGUUAACACCCCAUGGGAGUCAACUUAGGAGUCAUGCUUGUAUCUGUGAUCACGUGCAUGGCUGACUGCCUCGUGUGUCUGCACAAUACAACUGCUGGACAAUAUGCCAGAUGUGGGGGAGGAGGCAUAGGGGGGCUGCAGGUGCCUGGGA